rnacentral:tRNA from 1 species
GCGGGGGUACCCGAGUCAGGUCUAAGGGGCAGGACAUCGCGAAGAAUGUCGUGAUGUGCCAAGCUUAGGUGGUCUCAACUAACCUGAGACACCCUGUGGCGCAGGCCUUCGUGGGUUCGAAUCCCACUCCCCGCA